UUGUAAAUGGAUUCAGGAAACCCUUUGGUUUCUAAAGGAAGGAUCAGACAGCAAAAUAAUCUGUUUUAUCAAGCAACAGUGAAAAGUUGAAGUGACAAGAAUAUCAAAGAUUCAUAAUUCAGAAACCAGAACUGUGUCCAUGCAAUUGGAUAUCUUCAGUGAGGCUAAUACUGUUGAGGUGAUCCUGAACAAAAUGCCCUACAGAUUGUUUACACAUUUACCUACACACAUAAACGCAUUCGGGGCAUACCA